UUGAACGCUGGCGGCAUGCCUUACACAUGCAAGUCGAACGCGAAAGGGGGCAACCCUGAGUAGAGUGGCGAACGGGUGAGUAAUGCAUCGGAACGUGUCCUGUAGCGGGGGACAACCCCGAGAAAUCGGGGCUAAUACCGCAUACGUCCUACGGGAGAGAGUGGGGACCGCAAGGCCUCACGCUAUAGGGGCGGCCGAUGCCGGAUUAGCUAGUUGGUGAGGUAAGAGCUCACCAAGGCAACGAUCCGUAGCUGGUCUGAGAGGAUGAUCAGCCACACUGGGACUGAGACACGGCCCAGACUCCUACGGGAGGCAGCAGUGGGGAAUUUUGGACAAUGGGCGAAAGCCUGAUCCAGCCAUGCCGCGUGAGUGAAGAAGGCCUUCGGGUUGUAAAGCUCUUUCGGCAGGAACGAAACGGUGGGGUCUAAUACGCCUUACUAAUGACGGUACCUGAAGAAGAAGCACCGGCUAACUACGU
rnacentral:rRNA from 1 species